rnacentral:lncRNA from 1 species
GCAACGUUUUCAUAUUGAUUAACUUUUUCACAGAUACAAUACAGCAGUCCUUGGAUACAGGUAAGUUAUGAGUUACUGAAUUGAUGUAUGAAACUGUCAGUAUGUUGUAUGACGAAGACAUAAACAUAUAAUUAAGUUUAAGUUUCAGCUCUGUUAAACAUCAUUCCUUCUAAAAAAUAAAAAAAAAACAGAACACAUAGCAAUAGAAAUUUACAAAAAAAAUGUCCAGCCGUUGACAACUUAUCUGUGUAUUUGGUAGACUGAUAAUCAUUGAUAUUCUUUGAAUUCCUUGUAAGUCGAUAUGUCUCAAAGUAAUGAGCUGAAUAUUCUAUACAGUGUUACCUAUUUUUAGGAUACUUUUAUGAGUGUAUCAUACACUUGUAGUGUACGCGC